GACGAACGCUGGCGGCGUGCUUAACACAUGCAAGUCGAACGGACAGGCCCUUCGGGGUACUCGAGCGGCGAACGGGUGAGUAACACGUGAGUAAUCUGUCCUUCACUCUGGGAUAGCCACCGGACACGGUGAUUAAUACCGGAUACGAGCACCGUGGGCAUCCGCUGGGGGUCGCAACUUUUUGGGUGGUGGGUGUGCUCGCGGCCUAUCAGCUUGUUGGUGGGGGAAUGGCCUACCAAGGCUUCGACGGGUAGCCGGCCUGAGAGGGUGACCGGCCACACUGGGACUGAGACACGGCCCAGACUCCUACGGGAGGCAGCAGUGGGGAAUAUUGGACAAUGGGCGGAAGCCUGAUCCAGCAACGCCGCGUGAGGGAUGACGGCCUUCGGGUUGUAAACCUCUUUCAGCACCGACGAAGCGCAAGUGACGGUAGGUGCAGAAGAAGGACCGGCCAACUACGUGCCAGCCGCCGCCGUAAGAC
rnacentral:rRNA from 1 species